rnacentral:rRNA from 1 species
GCCAGACUCCUACGGGAGGCAGCAGUGGGGAAUAUUGCACAAUGGGGGAAACCCUGAUGCAGCGACGCCGCGUGAGUGAAGAAGUAAUUCGUUAUGUAAAGCUCUAUCAGCAGGGAAGAAAAUGACGGUACCUGGCCAAGAAGCCCCGGCUAACUACGUGCCAGCAGCCGCGGUAAUACGUAGGGGGCAAGCGUUAUCCGGAAUUACUGGGUGUAAAGGGAGCGUAGACGGUGAUGCAAGUCUGGAGUGAAAGGCGGGGGCCCAACCCCCGGACUGCUCUGGAAACUGUACGGCUGGAGUGCAGGAGAGGUAAGUGGAAUUCCUAGUGUAGCGGUGAAAUGCGUAGAUAUUAGGAGGAACACCAGUGGCGAAGGCGGCGUACUGGACUGUAACUGACGUUGAGGCUCGAAAGCGUGGGGAGCAAACAGGAUUAGAUACCCCGGUAAGU